rnacentral:rRNA from 1 species
CCUACGGGUGGCAGCAGUGAGGAAUAUUGGUCAAUGGCCGAGAGGCUGAACCAGCCAAGUCGCGUGAGGGAAGACGGCCCUACGGGUUGUAAACCUCUUUUGUCGGGGAGCAAAGCGACCCUAGUGUGGUUCAUUGAGAGUACCCGAAGAAAAAGCAUCGGCUAACUCCGUGCCAGCAGCCGCGGUAAUACGGAGGAUGCGAGCUUUAUCCGGAUUUAUUGGGGUUAAAGGGUGCGCAGGCGGAGGUGCACGUCAGCGGUCAAAUAGCGGGGCUCAACCCCGUACUGCCGUUGAACCUGCAUCCCUUGAGUGCGCGAGAAGUAUGCGGAAUGCGUGGUGUAGCGGUGAAAUGCAUAGAUAUCACGCAGAACUCCGAUGGCGAAGGCAGCAUACCGGCGCGCAACUGACGCUCAUGCACGAAAGCGUGGGUAUCGAACAGGAUUAGAUACCCUAGUAGUC